CGUGUAGGCGGAUACGCAAGUCGGUUGUGAAAUCCCUGGGCUCAACCUAGGAACUGCAUCCGAAACUGUGUGUCUUGAGUAAUGGAGAGGGUGGCGGAAUUCCCGGUGUAAAGGUGAAAUUCGUAGAUAUCGGGAGGAACAUCUGUGGCGAAGGCGGCCACCUGGACAUUUACUGACGCUGAGACGCGAAAGCGUGGGGAGCAAACA
rnacentral:rRNA from 1 species